GAUGAACGCUAGCGGCAGGCCUAACACAUGCAAGUCGAGGGGUAGAAGGAGCUUGCUCCUUUGAGACCGGCGCACGGGUGCGUAACGCGUAUGCAAUCUACCUUGUACAGGGGAAUAGCCCAGAGAAAUUUGGAUUAAUGCCCCAUAGUAUAUAACCUUCGCAUGUUGGUUAUAUUAAAGUUCCAACGUUACAAGAUGAGCAUGCGUCCCAUUAGUUAGUUGGUAAGGUAACGGCUUACCAAGACGAUGAUGGGUAGGGGUCCUGAGAGGGAGAUCCCCCACACUGGUACUGAGACACGGACCAGACUCCUACGGGAGGCAGCAGUGAGGAAUAUUGGUCAAUGGUCGCAAGACUGAACCAGCCAUGCCGCGUGCAGGAAGACGGUCCUAUGGAUUGUAAACUGCUUUUAUACAGGAAGAAACCCUCCCACGUGUGGGAGCUUGACGGUACUGUAGGAAUAAGGAUCGGCUAACUCCGUG
rnacentral:rRNA from 1 species